UCGGUUGGUUUGGUUUACACCGUAGUGGGCGUGGCCUGCGGCGUUUACAAUAACAUGCUAACUGACGAACAAACAAACAAACCGACACGACACGACACGACACGACACGACACGGAGCGAAGCUGCGUGAACGAGACGAAAAUGACGCUGGAAACCAAACGGAGGUGACAACAGAGAGGAGCCCGGGGGAGGGGGAUGUUCGCUCCACCUGCCGUCGGCGUCCACCUGCUCCCGCCGAGGGCAACGAGCUCCAGGUGACGAAGUUCCCCUUCUUCCCUACUCGUGUCCUCGAACGUCUGCAUCCAUCGGGCCGAGAGUCACUGCUGAGGGGAAGUUUUCAGCCCCGUCUGUGAAACCUCAGGCUGUCGGAGGAGAAUGUGGAGGGUUGCUGAUUCGGAGGUCCUUCAGAGCGGAGCAGAGGAUGAGGUUGAUCCUGUUGUCACGCUGCCGCCCCCUCUCCACCCCGAGGUCGUGUUCUUGCAGGGCAAAGGCUGAGAAAUGAAGCACCGUACCAGAGUCCUCUGCAUCCUGAUCGUCAGUGAGACCCUCCGGCACCCCCAUCUCCAGGCAUUUCUUACUGUGGGCCUUGGAUUUCAUGUGCUUGGUCAGAUUUCCUGCGAAAAGAGGGGCAGCAGGGUCUUACAGGAGCUGUUGUACAGUCUGAUGGCCAGGGGGACCAAAGAGCUUGGGAGAUUCCUGAGCCGUGCAGAACUCCCCGUCACCUCCACGGGAAGUCUGUCGCUCUUAUCUCCGCUUUCUUCCCUCGGCCCAGCGGAGGAGACUCGCGGCGUUUCUGCAGCUCUCGGCAGCUGACCGUGGCAAAUAAAGGGCCAUGAGGGUUACUGUCAGCAUCUGACACAUUCUUUGUGUCCGCGGACACGCCCGGACAACGAGACUCGAGGGACAUGAGUCGGUCCGAGGCGAGACUGAAAGACUUCAGGCUACAGGAAGUCCCUCGGUGAUCGUGGACGGACGAUGAUGCAGAGCAGAGGAAUCCCCCCCCCCCCCCCCGUAUACCGGACUGUGGCCUCAUUACCCUGCAGUCUAUCAUCAUCAGCCAGCUCAGAGCACAGCGUAAAAAACUGAACUCCUCUACUUCGUCACGUCGGCCGGACUGAGAGCUGGAGUGUGUCGCUCCGUCACGUCUGAACGGCAUGAAAGGAAAAGAGACAGAGGAAGAUGGAGGCAGAUCGAAGAGGCUCUGGGUAUCGUUACCUGUGAUCAGUGCUUGAGCAAUUAAUCAAUAGACACAGGUGCCUAAACAAUUAUUCUAAAAUUAAAUUUUUAAAAAGCCCUGAAAAUGAUGUCCUCAAAGAGUUGACUUUGUGUCGCACUCCAAAACCAAAACGCUGUGCAGUUUUAAAAGAUAUAAAACAAACAAAAGCAGCAAAUCUUCACAUUGAAGAGGCUGGAAACAGCAAAUUGUCCACGACUCAACCUAUUAAUCAUUAAUUGUGAGUUAAUCAUCUAGUUGCAUUGGGCUUUUAUCCUGUAACUGACGUUUGGUCAUGAACAUCUUUUCAUAUUGAGAAUCUCAUUUUAUUCUUUCAUUAAUGAAUCAGAUUUUGCCAAAAUUUUAUUUAAUUCAAUGUAGCUGCUUUUGCUCUGACAAAAUUGAACAAAUUGAAAUCUGAAUUGUUUUGUUAAAUGAAACAACGUAAGGGGGUUGGGGAGGAAAAGCCUUUGAUUACAGGAACUCAGGUAUCAUGUUCUAGAGCGACGGGUGGAGCAGGAAGGGUUUGGGUUGAAGUGAGUCCUGCUCUCUGCAGCCUGGCGAUCUGCUGCCGACUGCUAAACAUCAAGCGAUGGAGGGAGGCAGCCGGCGAGCUCCGGCCUCCACCGGGCAGACAUUGUUUAUAUGCAGCAUGAAACAGCUGAAUGGAAAUUACACAGCCAGGGCAGGUACGAGUUCAAAAAAAUGAAAAUGAAAAUAAAAAUACAGCUUUAACUAGAGCUCCGGGCAGGCACCUUUUAAUAAUAUAUGGCUAUAGAGCGGAAGAGAUCUUGUACACACACACAAGAUGAACAAUGCGUGAACGAGGAUUUACCUGUCUGAGUUACCCGUCUCAUUUUCUACAAUAACAACAUUUAGAGGACAAGUUAUUACUCCACCCUCCCAAUAAAUUGUGACGAAGCUGCAAACGCCCUGUCUACAAAUGAAAUAUUGAUCACGCUCUCUCUCCUGCACACACUCACACACACACACAGACAAAGACAGUGGUUUGGCGCUGUAUCUGUACAGUACUGCUGCCCCCGCAGGAAACCGUAGGUGGAAGAAGCAGCCGACUGGAGGCCACUGAUUAUUGGGACUGCGUGGGCACCCUCGUGAAAAAUUGAUAUAACGAGAAAUCUACUGGUUGGGGUAGAAAAGUUUGUGUGUGUUUGUGUUCAUUUGUUGUGGGCUUAGUAGUGCAGGCGGCGAUGGACGUGAAUGUGAUUAUUAUCUCUAUUCCAUCUUUUUCAGACCAGGUGCACAUUUAACCUUCCACAAAAAAAAAAACAGCCUGCGCCCAAAUAGACGAGGAAGAGGCAAGACGUCCAAACACAAAAUCAGAAACGCAACAAACGGAGAAACGCAACAAAAGAGCAAAUUAUCACUUUGUUCCCCCACAGUUGAAAAUCAAAGGUGUGAAGCCUCUGAAAUUACUUUUAAUGUUUAAAUACUUUUUUGUUUUCAGUUAAUCCACUGAUGGUCAGUGGUUCCAUCAAACAUUCGAAGAAGAAGAAGAAGGAGAAGCGGGAGAGAAGCAAAUGAGCCGUGGCACCACAUGGGGGAGUGUUGAGUACUGCGGUUGAAGUUGGUGCUGCUGGUAGACCCCAAUGAUACGACAGUGGAAACGAUAUUAACGAAAUGAACCGGUUCAUUUAAUUGACAACUCGCCAAGUUCAGACACACGCCGGUCUACGAACCAGUCAGUGUAACGUAUAGGUGGACACAGCCCACGUAGGUGUUGACCAUAAAUUACCACGCCAAACCAAAACUAACCGGAGCAAAUGUAAAAGAUGUGAAAACACCCUUAAACUGAAAGCACCGCUGCUUCUGUUGAACUGUGCUAACUGCAGCAAAAGAAAAAAGAAAGAAACCCCUUUUCAGAUCUCAGCGUAGCGCUAGAUCCUCGGGCUCGACUCGCUCCACUGCCCGCUUGUUGUUGGUUACCGUGGCGCCAUGUUUGAGUGACAGCGCGCAGACCGCUUCCUGUCUGCGGGCCGUCUCACUCAGUCUGACGGGAGCGGAGACGUUGCUCUGGACAGUUGCUUUUAGCAGCUCAGAGCCUCACUGCUCAGACACAAACAAACACACACCAACUGACCUCAAAGUCCCAUUCAGCGCAAACAGCCACUAUUAAACAGAAAAUAACUGCAGCAUGUCUCUGUGUGCUUUUACAGAAUGCUCACUUCAUACCCGGGAGUUCUGCUGAUCUGUUUCACGGAACAAACACUCAGCGACUCCUUUUGUACGGCGAACAAAACACAACCCGGAGAAAGAACAACACACACACAGAGAGACACACACACACACACACACACACACACACACACACUCCUGUAUCAACACAAGCAGUCACAAGUCCGUGUUUCCACCCUAUCAGCUGUGGCUGUGCGGCGGUAUGGGGCGAGGCCAGCGGUUUCCUCCGAAUAACGUGACGAG